GAGGGUAUAGCGUAGUGGUAGAGUGCAUGUUUAGCAUGCACAAGGUCCUGGGUUUGAUCCCUAGUACCUCCG
rnacentral:tRNA from 1 species